rnacentral:rRNA from 1 species
GAUGAACGCUGGCGGCGUGCCUAAUACAUGCAAGUCGAGCGAAUGGAUUAAGCGCUUGCUCUUAUGAAGUUAGCGGCGGACGGGUGAGUAACACGUGGGUAACCUGCCUAUAAGACUGGGAUAACUCCGGGAAACCGGGGCUAAUACCGGAUAACAUUUUGAACCGCAUGGUUCGAAAUUGAAAGGCGGAUUCGGCUGUCACUUAUGGAUGGACCCGCGUGGCAUUAGCUAGUUGGUGAGGUAACGGCUCACCAAGGCAACGAUGCGUAGCCGACCUGAGAGUGGGAUCGGCCACACUGGGACUGAGACACGGCCCAGACUCCUACGGGAGGCAGCAGUAGGGAAUCUUCCGCAAUGGACGAAAGUCUGACGGAGCAACGCCGCGUGAGUGAUGAAGGCUUUCGGGUCGUAAAACUCUUUUGUUAGGGAAGAACAAGUGCUAGUUGAAUAAGCUGGCACCUUGACGGUACCUAACCAGAAAGCCACGGCUAACUACGUGCCAGCCGCCGCUGUAA